UGGGGAAUAUUGGACAAUGGGCGAAAGCCUGAUCCAGCCAUGCCGCGUGUGUGAAGAAGGUCUUCGGAUUGUAAAGCACUUUAAGUUGGGAGGAAGGGCAUUAACCUAAUACGUUAGUGUUUUGACGUUACCGACAGAAUAAGCACCGGCUAACUCUGUGCCAGCAGCCGCGGUAAUACAGAGGGUGCAAGCGUUAAUCGGAAUUACUGGGCGUAAAGCGCGCGUAGGUGGUUUGUUAAGUUGGAUGUGAAAUCCCCUGGCUCAACCUGGGAACUGCAUUCAAAACUGACUGACUAGAGUAUGGUAGAGGGUGGUGGAUUUGCCUGUGUAGCGGUGAAAUGCGUAGAUAUAGGAAGGAACACCAGUGGCGAAGGCGACCACCUGGACUAAUACUGACACUGAGGUGCGAAAGCGUGGGGAGCAAACA
rnacentral:rRNA from 1 species